rnacentral:rRNA from 1 species
AGCGAACGCUGGCGGCAGGCCUAACACAUGCAAGUCGAACGGAUCCUUCGGGAUUAGUGGCGGACGGGUGAGUAACACGUGGGAACGUGCCCUUUGGUUCGGAACAACUCAGGGAAACUUGAGCUAAUACCGGAUGUGCCCUUCGGGGGAAAGAUUUAUCGCCAUUGGAGCGGCCCGCGUCUGAUUAGCUAGUUGGUGAGGUAACGGCCCACCAAGGCGACGAUCAGUAGCUGGUCUGAGAGGAUGAUCAGCCACACUGGGACUGAGACACGGCCCAGACUCCUACGGGAGGCAGCAGUGGGGAAUCUUGCGCAAUGGGCGAAAGCCUGACGCAGCCAUGCCGCGUGAAUGAUGAAGGUCUUAGGAUUGUAAAAUUCUUUCAGCGGGGACGAUAAUGACGGUACCCGGAGAAGAAGCUCCGGCUAACUUCGUG